CACAAAACCUCAGUUUAAGAGAGAAAAUAAACAAAAACAUCUACAGUUAAUAUAACUGCAGUUAAUCGCAACGGAAACUAAAUCAAUUUAAUAGCCUAAACCGCGUAAAGCUAGGAGUCACUUGACAUUUUGAUUCCGGAGAAAACAGCGUUUGAACAAAUAUCGUCAUUUUCAAGAAAAACAUGAGUGGAAGGUGUUAAAUUACUUGCAAAUGUUGCUGUUAGCAUUGUUUGUAUUUGCAACAUAUCUUUACAUUCACAUAAACAUGAAGAUCGCGGUUGAUAUUAUAACAGUCUGGAAAUGUAGACUCCUCGACUGCCAUAAAAAGAAGGGGAAAAACAAACAGCUGAAAAUAGCAGUAUCUGAUUGUUUCAGUCAGUAUAUGAGAGGAAAUGGAAAUGUAUCAUCUCAGCACAUCACAAUUUUUUUUAUUUUUUUUAGCAUCACAAUAAAAUCCUCUUAAUGACCACUAUAUGAGAAGUGUUGAAUUUCAAUUUUAUAAAAUAAUCUCUUCCUAUUGUUGAUUCGAACAGAAAGCUAAAUAAUUACAUGAUUUAUUCUCACGUGGAAUUCAAAAACAUUUGAGCAGCAAGUGAAAACGAUAAAAACAAUUGUGAAGAGAUUUAAUAGAAAUAAUAAAAUCAAAAGUUUUGUAGAUCUGAUAAAUGUGUAAAGUUUAUUACAUUCAUACGUUCAUCAAUAAAAUGCUACAUUAUUUCAGUUCAUGUCUUAUUGUCUUAAUAGACGUCAUCAUACUUAUUACAAUUACAGUUCUGAUGACUGCAAUUAGAAUACCGCAGGCAUCUAAUAAAACAAUAUUCAAAUUUCAGAGCCAAUAUCUAUCAAUUGUAAAACAGACCUCAAAUAAUUUCAAAUAAGCAAGAUAUAAGCAAAACAUGCCAGUCACUGCUAAAUAUUCGAUAGAAUACUGGCUUAUGAACGUUAAUUAUAUGUAUUGCGCUGUAUUUGAUAGGGCAUACAUGUGACUCUUUAAAAUUCAACAUACAAUACCUGGGAAUAUAAUGGAAGAUAGGGAGAUAAAUAAUAUGAAAUGUAUGGAAUCCACUAACAAACUGACAAUUUUCAAGAUAAAAGAUUGAUAUCAAAGUUUAUACACGUUUAAUGGGUUAAUCUUGUAGUUAUAACAAAUAUGUCACUUUUGUGUGAGUCAUAAAAGACAUAACAUGACAAUAUUUAACCAUUUUUAACAUUUAGAAUGUUUACAAAGUAAUUAAAUAAGAAGAUAUUAGUAAAGUCAGUUAAACGUCGACCAUUAAAACGUUCUCUUCUGUAUGCGAUGAAUUACUUUUAAAAUUAAAUAGAAGUUAGAAACCUUGACAUUCUGGACAAAUGGGGAUUACUCAACAUUGGUUAUUGACUGUAGUUUAUCUUGUUUUGUAUUUUGUUUAUGUUCAUUGUUUACUCAAUUUUAUUUAUUUGGAAAUAGAUAUCUAUGUAUAAAUUUAAUAUAC